rnacentral:rRNA from 1 species
GACGAACGCUGGCGGCGUGCCUAAUACAUGCCAGUCGAGCGCUGAAGGUUGGUACUUGUACCAACUGGAUGAGCAGCGAACGGGUGAGUAACGCGUGGGGAAUCUGCCUUUGAGCGGGGGACAACAUUUGGAAACGAAUGCUAAUACCGCAUAAAAACUUGAAACACAAGGUUUAAGUUUGAAAGAUGCAAUUGCAUCACUCAAAGAUGAUCCCGCGACUUCUUAGUUAGUUGGUGAGGGAAAGGCUUACCAAGGCGAUGAUUCCUAGCCCGCCUGAGAGGGUGGUCGCCCACCUUGGACCGGAGACGCGGUCGACACUCGUACGGGAGGCAGCCGCAGGGAACGUUCCGCAAUGGUCGAAAACUUGACUCGGCAACAGCGCGUGAGGUCUGACGGUCUUCGGAUCGUAAAACCCUGUUAUUCGGGAAGAACAAAAGUGUCAUUAACCACGCACGUCUUGACGGUACCUACUCAGAAAGCCACGGCUAACUACGUG